GUGUUGUGGGAAAAAAGAGAAGUUUAGCAUCUCCCUUGUUAAGAAUGGAUGGAAGAGGCCAUUGGGCGUAGUUUCACAGCACUUACCAUGUUUUUUU
ensembl:snRNA